rnacentral:rRNA from 1 species
UACGUAGGGUGCGAGCGUUGUCCGGAAUUAUUGGGCGUAAAGAGCUCGUAGGCGGUCUGUCGCGUCGGCCGUGAAAACCUGCAGCUUAACUGUGGGCGUGCGGUCGAUACGGGCAUGACUGGAGUUCGGCAGGGGAGACUGGAAUUCCUGGUGUAGCGGUGAAAUGCGCAGAUAUCAGGAGGAACACCGGUGGCGAAGGCGGGUCUCUGGGCCGAUACUGACGCUGAGGAGCGAAAGCGUGGGGAGCGAACAGG